rnacentral:rRNA from 1 species
UACGACCUUUUGCAAGCGUUAUCCGGAAUUAUUGGGCGUAAAGCGUUUGUAGGCGGGCGAGUGUGUUUAAUGUUAAAUCUUAAAGCUCAACUUUGAAAUUGCGUUAAAAACUGCUUGUCUUGAGUAUGGUAGGGGUAAAGGGAAUUCCCAGUGUAGCGGUGAAAUGCGUAGAUAUUGGGAAGAACACUAAACAGCGAAGGCACUUUACUAGGCUAAUACUGACGCUGAGAAACGAAAGGUAAGGUAGCGAAACGGAUUAGAUACCCGUGUAGUCUUACCCGUAAACUAUGGACACUAAACGGUAAAUUUUUAAUUUACUGUUAAAGCUAACGCGUUAAGUGUCCCGCCUGGGGAGUAUGCUUGCAAAAGUGAAACUCAAAGGAAUUGACGGGGGCCCGCACAAGCGGUGGAGCAUGUGGUUUAAUUCGACGGUACACGAAGAACCUUACCAGGAUUUGACAUGCUAGAUAGUUGCUUGAAAGAGUAACGUGCCGUAAGGAAUCUAGACACAGGUGGUGCAUGGCUGUCGUCAGUUCGUGUUGUGAAAUGUUGGGUUAAGUCCCGCAACGAACGCAACCCUUGUCUUUAGUUAUUUUCUAAAGAGACUGCCUGUAAUAAACAGGAGGAAGGUAAGGAUGAGGUCAAGUCAUCAUGCCCCUUAUGUCCUGGGCUACACACGUGCUACAAUGGGAAAGACAAUGAGCUGCAAAUCUGUAAAUUUAAGCAAAUCUCUUAAACUUUCUCGUAGUUCGGAUUGUGGGCUGCAACUCGCCCACAUGAAGUUGGAAUCGCUAGUAAUCGCCAGUCAGCUAUAUGGCGGUGAAUCCGUUCCCGGGCCU